rnacentral:lncRNA from 1 species
CUUCCUCUCGCGCUUGGUAUCCGCUGCCUCUUUACCCCUUCCCCUCCUUAUUGUCCCCCUCAUGCCUUUCUAGGUUCACGGACUCUCUAAAUGUUUCUUAGAUACGUCCGCACUACGUUUCCAUCACCCCUCACUCCUGUGGUCUCACACUUUGACCUCCUUAAUUCUUGUUAAUUCACUUUGGUUUCCCCUGCGCAGUCUCUGCAAACAGCAAGUUAAUUUGUACCUCUCAGACUUGCGAGAAUAAAAUGAGACAACGUAUGACAAGCACUGACAAAAACACUUGGCACAUGUCAUCUGUAGCACUAUUUGUAAAUAGUCUGGACUCAGUGGAACCUGCUGUCUUAUGAAUAUAAUAUUUUUAACAAGACAGAAACAUGUUCAAAAGUUUGUGUAAAAUUUUAUGAUAUAGCAAGUGAAGAUCGAAAGAAAAGGCUGGAGUUUUUGAAGAAAGGAACACAGCUGAAUUAUCAAUGUCACUGGAAAACAAACAUAUCAAGUGGGAUUCUAGAUGGGAUUACAUUUUGGAGUCUAUGCCUCAUCCCCACAUCCAGUGGCUUAGGUUAGGUAUCCAGUUUGCACAAACCAGAUUCCACGUCAGAUUCCUCAACAGAUUUUCUCUAGAAAAUGACUUUUGGCAUCAUAUCAGUGGCAUUUUCCCUUUUGGCUGUAUUUUUAUUCAACUCUUUUUCCUUCUGAACAGUGUUUGGAACAGUCGGAUUUUUUUCCUGCUUCUGUUUUAUUAUCAAAAUCUACAGUGUGGUGAAAGUGGAUUAAAGAAUGUCCCCAGAGGCUUCCAGGCACAUCACCCUUGCUUUUGAAUAUACAUCUGUAUCUAUA